GGGGCUGACUGGUUUUGACAUCCGGGCAAGAUGUUAUGCAAGCAUGCCGAGCUUGGUGAUUAUGCUCGUUAAACUCAAUCGCAAAUCGUAAAUGGCGAAAACAAAUACGCUCUCGCUGCCUGACCGAAGUUUAGUAGGUUAGUUGCAUAAUCCCGGUAUUAGAUAUUGGGACGAGACGUCUCACGGGCGGUUUUACUUUGUUCCAACCCGGUUAUGAGGCGCAGGCAAUUCAAGGUUAGUUGGCAGGAUGCUCUGGUCUGCCGGCGAAACUUAAGGAGCUAAGGUAAAGCUUGGGUGUUUUGCACCGUGUUUUUCCCGACAAUCAAGCAAAACUAAGCAUGUAGAAAACAUAUGGUCUCCCGGUGUGGACGAGGGUUCGACUCCCUCCAGCUCCAC
rnacentral:tmRNA from 1 species